CCUACGGGAGGCAGCAGUGGGGAAUAUUGGACAAUGGGCGAAAGCCUGAUCCAGCCAUGCCGCGUGUGUGAAGAAGGUCUUCGGAUUGUAAAGCACUUUAAGUUGGGAGGAAGGGCAUUAACCUAAUACGUUAGUGUUUUGACGUUACCGACAGAAUAAGCACCGGCUAA
rnacentral:rRNA from 1 species